UCCGGUAACAAUAUUUGUAAAUGUCGUAAUCUACGACAUCUGUUUACAACGCAUAACGGUGUGUUUUGUAUUUUCUGGGUGUAUUUAAUACGUAUUAAUUGUUCGUGACGUCUUAGAUGUGGAUGAUGGACUGAAGGAUCCAUGUCGAUUGAGGUGAAAAUGCCACUCUUCAGGAAGCAAAGUGAAAAAGGAAAGAAGCGUCAGGAGAGACAGGAGUAUUUGGCCCAGGAUAAUCCAGAGCCGACGUUUGAUCUGUCAGCAUGUGAGAUAAGUCAUAUUCCUUCAGGAGUGUUUGCAAGAUGCAAGAUUCUGCAGAAAGAAGCCUUGCUGCUGCAUGACAACUGGCUGGGUUCCAUCUCAGGGGGAAACUUCUCGGAUCUGAUCACACUCAGGGUGUUGGACGUCCACAACAAUGAGAUUAAGGUUAUACCUGAAGAUAUAGGAAUACUUGUAAACUUACAGGUGUUGAGUUUGGAGGGCAACAAGUUGAAGAAGAUUCCAGAUACAAUAGGCGACCUCCGUUCACUCCAGACUCUGAACGUUAAAAAGAACAAAAUCAGCCAUUUGCCCGACACAAUGUGUGAACUGCCUUGUUUGCGGCUUCUGGACAUCUCAGAUAAUGAAGUUACCUCCCUUCCUAAGAGGCUGUGUUACAUCCGCACCCUGGAAACACUUGUACUCGAUGCAUCCCGUAUGAAAUACCCAGAUAAAGAGAUCUGUAAGAAGGGUACAGAGGACACCAUGAAGUUUCUAUGCAGCGCGAAUGGACUUGAGUACCAGCCCCCCUCCAACUUCCUGCUCAACAUCCUGGAGCCCCCGAAGCCAGUCGCCUCAUCCUGGAGUAGCAACUCGCUCAAGGCCUAUCAGGAGGAGGCCAAGAUGAUGAAAUCAUUGGAACAGUAUCAAGAUGUGGUGGACAAGAAGCGAGAAGACAGGACGUACCUGGAGAAGAUGAUGCGCGAGGAGCAGGAGGUUCAGGCCAUCAUGGCCGCCAAGGUCAUGUCUCAGAAACAGAACCUUGUAGAUGCCAUAGCCAAGGACCAAGAGCGAAUCUUAGACGGCUUGAAUCAGCUCAGUGAGAAGAAGGGUAUGGAAAGAGAAAUGAUGUUCGGGGAACUCAAAGAAGUGGAGAAGAGUGCUGACGAGCUGUUGGUCCACCUGCUGGACAUGACAGAGAAGGCCAAGAAGACGGAGGAGCUGCUGGAUGAGCUGGAGCAGGAGAGGAGUGUGAAGGACGGACUGUUUGAGGUGAGGUGGGAAGAGUUUCAGACUCUUCGGAAGCAGGAAGUUCUUCGAGCGAUGAAGUGGAUCCUCCAGGACGACGAGGGGAUGGAGAAACUGAGACAAGAGUACACCAUCGAUAAGGACAACCAGAACAAGAGGAACCUCGAACAAGAGACCCUGAUAGCUGGUGAUCAGGUGGAGAGCUGUCUUUACCACCGGCAGGCCCAUCAGAAGGUUGUCAUGGAAACGCUAGCUGAGCAGGAGCAACUACAGAAGCAAGCGUUUGAAGCGCUGUUGGUGGCCAAAGAUGCCAAGAGCAACCGAAUCAACAGCCAGAUCAAGCUGAUCGAGGAGCAGUUGAUACAGCUGACUCUUGUGGAGCAGGAACGGAAGGAUGCACGGGCAGAGAUGGAGCUGAACCUGAUAGCUGAUAAGCGAAUUGCAUUGUCGGCGAUGUUGGCACAGCUGUUGGAGGAGCGAGACAUGAGACAGGUGGAAAUCAAGAAGAGGCUGCAUGAGAUGGAGGACAGACAGACUACUGGCUGGUGCAGACAUACUACUGGCUGGUGCAGUACCAGCGUCUCAUGGACAAGAAGCCACAGAGACUCAUCGAUAGCGAGAACGCUCUUGAGGUGGAGGUGGUGAAAAUUCUGCGCAAGUCAGGAGCAGAUGACUACUUGCCUUUGUUUGCACGACACAAGAUCACCAUAGAAACCAUUGUUCAACUUACAGAGGAUGAUCUGAAACAGGUUGGUGUUCACGAAGUCGGCCUGCGGAAGUCCAUCUUGCGCUAUACAGAAGAGAUGAGAGUGGAGAACAAACUAGGGGGGAUAACUCCUACUGUGGAGACACCAGCCAAGCAGGU
rnacentral:misc_RNA from 1 species